rnacentral:rRNA from 1 species
GGUGAGUAACACGUGGGCAACCUGCCCGUAAGACCGGGAUAACUUGCGGAAACGUGAGCUAAUACCGGAUAGUUUUCCUUCCCGCAUGGGAAGGAAAGGAAAGGUGGCGCAAGCUACCACUUACGGAUGGGCCCGCGGCGCAUUAGCUAGUUGGUGGGGUAACGGCCUACCAAGGCGACGAUGCGUAGCCGACCUGAGAGGGUGAUCGGCCACACUGGGACUGAGACACGGCCCAGACUCCUACGGGAGGCAGCAGUAGGGAAUCUUCCGCAAUGGACGAAAGUCUGACGGAGCAACGCCGCGUGAGCGAAGAAGGUCUUCGGAUCGUAAAGCUCUGUUGUCAGGGAAGAACAAGUGCCGUUCGAACAGGGCGGUACCUUGACGGUACCUGACGAGGAAGCCACGGCUAACUACGUGCCAGCAGCCGCGGUAAUACGUAGGUGGCAAGCGAUCCAUAUGACUAGUAGAUCCUCUAGAGUCGACCUGCAGGCAUGCAAGCUUUCCCUAUAGUGAGUCGUAUUAA